AAGUCGUAACAAGGUUUCCGUAGGUGAACCUGCGGAAGGAUCAUUAACAAAUUCCAAAACUCGUCUUGGGGGGGAUGCGUUCGCGCUAAACCCUUAUGACUUACACACAUUUACCAGUAGACAACCAAUGGAGAACCAAACGAUAAAACGUUGAAACAACUUUUAACAAUGGAUCUCUUGGCUCUU
rnacentral:misc_RNA from 1 species